GACGAACGCUGGCGGCGUGCUUAACACAUGCAAGUCGAACGGUGAAGGUGGGAGCUUGCUCCUGCUGGAUCAGUGGCGAACGGGUGAGUAACACGUGAGUAACCUGCCCUUGACUCUGGGAUAAGCGUUGGAAACGACGUCUAAUACCGGAUACGAGCUUCAGCCGCAUGGCUAGGAGUUGGAAAGAUUUUUCGGUCAAGGAUGGACUCGCGGCCUAUCAGCUUGUUGGUGAGGUAAUGGCCCACCAAGGCGACGACGGGUAGCCGGCCUGAGAGGGUAACCGGCCACACUGGGACUGAGACACGGCCCAGACUCCUACGGGAGGCAGCAGUGGGGAAUAUUGCACAAUGGGCGCAAGCCUGAUGCAGCAACACCGCGUGAGGGACGACGGCCUUCGGGUUGUAAACCUCUUUUAGCAGGGAAGAAGCGCAAGUGACGGUACCUGCAGAAAAAGCACCGGCUAACUACGUGCCAGCCGCCGCGGUAA
rnacentral:rRNA from 1 species